CCUACCUACGGGCCAGCUACCGCGGUAGUACUGAGGGCCCAAGCGAUAACCGGAAUGACUGGGCGUAAAGAGUUUCGGAGGUGGCAUACAAAGAAAGUAGUGAAAUCGGUCGGCUCAACCGAAUACACAUUAUUUGAACUGCUAAGCUAGAUGACGAGAGAUGUUAUUGGAAGUCCCAGAGUAGGAGUGAAAUCCGUAGAUAUUGGGAGGAACACCGAUGGCGUAGGCAGAUAACUGGCUUGUUCCUGACACUAAGGCACGAAAGCGUGGGGAGCGAACGGGAUUAGAUACCCGGGUAGUC
rnacentral:rRNA from 1 species